AUGGUGGUAUGUAGAGACAAUGAAGGGCAUUAUGUUGGCGCGUCGGCUGUAAUAUUUGAUGGCCUAACUGAUCCUGCUGGUCUGGAAACUCUUGCCUGUAACGAGGCACUAGCGUUGGCCCAAGAUUUGAACCUGAGACGUGUGGUGAUGGGCUCGGAUUGCUUGGAGCUGAUUACUAAUAUUAACAAAGGAUCAGCAGCUAGAUAUGAAUCAGUUCUACAUGAAAUCACACAUCGACAGAAGGAAUUUGGCGAAGUAUGUUUCUGUUUUGAGCCUCGGGAAUCCAAUUUUGAAGCUCAUAUGUUUGCAAAGGCUGCAUCAUCUCUUACAAUCGAUCGCCAUUUGUGGCUAGGGAGAGUACCUGAUAUCAUUUGUAUUCCGUUUACUUUGAAUUAUGAAUAA
rnacentral:rRNA from 1 species